rnacentral:rRNA from 1 species
GACGAACGCUGGCGGCGUGCCUAAUACAUGCAAGUUGAGCGAUGAAGCUUGGUGCUUGCACCAAUUUGAAGAGCAGCGAACGGGUGAGUAACGCGUGGGGAAUCUGCCUUUGAGCGGGGGACAACAUUUGGAAACGAAUGCUAAUACCGCAUAACAACUUUAAACAUAAGUUUUAAGUUUGAAAGAUGCAAUUGCAUCACUCAAAGAUGAUCCCGCGUUGUAUUAGCUAGUUGGUGAGGUAAAGGCUCACCAAGGCGAUGAUACAUAGCCGACCUGAGAGGGUGAUCGGCCACAUUGGGACUGAGACCCGGCCCAAACGCCUACGGGAGGCAGCAGUAGGGAAUCUUCGGCAAGGGACGAAAGUCUGACCGAGCAACGCCGAGUGAGUGAAGAAGGGUGUCGGAUCGUAAAACUCUGUUGGUAGAGAAGAACGUUGGUGAGAGUGGAAAGCUCAUCAAGUGACGGUAACUACUCAGAAAGGGACGGCUAACUACGUG